ensembl:lincRNA
AUGAGUUUCACCUGCUCCUCCAGGACGGGUCUCCCCAGGAAAUCACGGAGGUGCAAGUCUGCUUGCGAGAACCAGGGCAGACAGAUCCAGAAGGGCCCAGUUCAGGUUCUUCUUCAUGACAGUGGUGGCUUCACAGCGUCCUGGGUUUUACCCCACUCUCUUGUGAAGCUUCUGCAUAUCCUGGAAGAGGGCGCAGUCGCAACACUGGUUUUGCGUUUUCCGAAGACUCUAGGCGUUCUUGGCUUCUCCUGGGCCAAUUGGGGAAAAAAAGUGGACCUAGCUUGUGCAGAGCCGCAUUGUUGUGGUUGCAGCGGAAGCGCAGAAAGAGCAUUGGACUAUAUUUAACUAUGGACUGUGAAGAAAGCUGAGCGCCGAAGAAUUGAUGCUUUUGAACUGUGGUGUUGGAGAAGACUCUUGAGAGUCCCUUGAACUGCAAGGAGAUCCAACCAGUCCAUUCUGAAGGAGAUCAGCCCUGGGAUUUCUUUGGAGGGAAUGAUGCUAAAGCUGAAACUCCAGUAUUUUGGCCACCUCAUGCGAAGAGUUGACUCAUUGGAAAAGACUCUGAUGCUGGGAGGGAUUGAGGGCAGGAGGAGAAGGGGACGACAGAGGAUGAGAUGGCACUGGAUGGCAUCACUGACCCAAUGGACGUGAGUCUGAGUGAACUCCUGGAGUUGGUGAUGGACAGGGAGGCCUGGCGUGCUGCGAUUCAUGGGGUCGCAAAGAGUCGGACACAACUGAGUAACUGAACUGAACUGAGUCUUAAAAUUAGUUUUAGAGUUUUAAAUUUUUUCUCAUUUCAACUGAAUUUCGAUAACAAUAUAUAUUUGACUUUUAAACCAUAAGUGAAUUUCAUGUUUAUGAAUGUGAAUUUCAUGUUUAUGAAUAGCUAAAUAAAAGAGGAAAGUUUAAAAACUCUUGCAAACACACAAGUCAACAACACAAACUUUUCUCUAAACUGCUCCUUCCAAAUGCUCUGUAUUUUUUCUUCCUUCCAUCAGCUAAGACAUUUAUAUCAUUCAAACAUGAAGGUGAGAAAAGUACUAAAUUUAUGUCUCAGAGAGAUCUGUGAUACAGGUCCUCUAAGAGGAAAGGCAAUAUCAAGGAGAAAAGAAACAAACUGAAUUUUUAAAACCUAUGAUAAGCAGACACAAUGCAGGCAAUAGAACUAAAUUUCUAAAACAUGUAUAUUUAGUUUCUUCCAAAACAUGAGACAAGCUACAGCUAUAAUACAAGACCAAACUACAAUGAAAGAAUAUUCAGAAAACAGGAAGAGAUUGGGGAAUUUUUAAAAUAAGUAAAAUUUUCAAUAGAAGGAUUAAAAGAUAAAGCACAAAAACCUUGAAAAUUAAAUAAAAAGAUAAAAAGAAUAAUAUACAUGAGAAAAUAAAAGAUUAUUCCAGGAGUUAUACCACAAAGAGAUAGAAAAAGGUCUACAGAAAAUACAAAAGGGAAAAAAUUUAUCAAAGAAAUAGUAUUUCCAGAGCUUAAGACCAUACAUCUUCAUAUUGGAAACAUUUGUGUUAGAAAUACAUUUGCCAGACAAAUGCAUCAGGUUUUUAAAAAAUACUUAUGUCUGUCAGAAAAUCUAAGGACAGAGAAAAAAAAAUACUAGAAGCUUCUGAUGGGAGGAAACAAUAAUUAUCAAAAAAUAAUGAAAUAAAAUAGAAUUCAGCAGCCGUAGAUUUCUUAAUGGCAAUGUUGGCUGUUAUAAAAUAAAGAAAUGAUGUCUUUAAAUUCUGAGGGAAAGUAUUUUCAAUCCAGGAUUCAUACUCAGGCAAACUAUCCAUAGACUGUGACGUGAAAAUAAAUUCUUGUUAAAGUAUACAGGUUCUUAAAAUUAAUUAUUCUUGAUUCUCCUCCUAGGAAGCUACUAUAGGAUAUGUUUCUGCAAAACAAGGAAGUAAACAAAAUACAGGAAGGACUUGAAAUCUGACAAAGGGUGUAUCCACAGCAAUAGUGCUAUGGAGUUUCACUCUGACUGUUAUACAGGAGCACCAGUCAGCAGCUGGUGCGGACUGGAGCAGUGGGCUGGAUUGCUGCAGAGACGAGGUCUUCUUAAAAAACAGUCAUGCUCAAUUUAAAAAAAAAUCUGGUUUAGCUAACAUAAAAAUUUACCAAUAGGCAUUUGAAAGGUCAGUUGAAAUAUUUGCAAAAUGUAAUAAUGACUCUAAAUGAAGCUGAGAAAAUAGGAAGAAAAAGGCAAUUAUUAACUCCAUGGCAAAAUGUAGAAGAAAAAAUUCAAUCAUAAUAUAUACUACAAAGGCAUAUUAAAUAAUGCAACCCUGAUUUGCCAUGAAAAAUAUUAAAUGACAUUGGGAGACUGAGAGG